rnacentral:rRNA from 1 species
UACGGAGGAUGCGAGCGUCAUCCGGAUUUAUUGGGUUUAAAGGGUGCGCAGGCGGCGUGUCAAGCAAGCGGUAAAAUAGCGGGGCUCAACCCCGUCGAGCCGUUUGAACUGGCGCGCUUGAGUUCAGGCGAGGUAGGCGGAAUUCGUGGUGUAGCGGUGAAAUGCAUAGAUAUCACGAAGAACUCCGAUUGCGAAGGCAGCUUACCAGUCUGCGACUGACGCUCAGGCACGAAAGUGUGGGUAUCGAACAGG